AGGGCUUUGUUUGCUCUGUUUAAAUCCUUAUAGGUAGACAGAAAUGCAGGGAUAAAGGUGACAAUAAUUGAUCAGAUAAAUAAAAAAGAAAUCAGAUUUUGAAAGAUUGCGGAGAUGAAAGCUAAUGGUGGCCCCAAGAGGACUUGAACCUCUGACCACCACCA
rnacentral:antisense_RNA from 1 species